UACGUAGGGUGCGAGCGUUAAUCGGAAUUACUGGGCGUAAAGCGUGCGCAGGCGGUUUUGUAAGUCUGAUGUGAAAUCCCCGGGCUCAACCUGGGAAUUGCAUUGGAGACUGCAAGGCUAGAAUCUGGCAGAGGGGGGUAGAAUUCCACGUGUAGCAGUGAAAUGCGUAGAGAUGUGGAGGAACACCGAUGGCGAAGGCAGGUCUCUGGGCCGAUACUGACGCUCAUGCACGAAAGCGUGGGGAGCAAACAGG
rnacentral:rRNA from 1 species